UUUGAGAGGUGGUCCAGGGCUACGUGA
rnacentral:sRNA from 1 species